rnacentral:rRNA from 1 species
GACGGAGGGGGCAAGCGUUGUUCGGAAUUAUUGGGCGUAAAGGGCUCGUAGGCGGAUCCGCCAGUCUGACGUGAAAUCUCCACCGCUCACCGGGGAGGGGCCGUUGGAUACUACGGAUCUGGAGUUCGGCAGAGGACCAUGGAAUUUCGGGUGUAGCGGUGGAAUGCGUAGAUAUCCGAAGGAACGCCGGUGGCGAAAGCGGCGAACUGGACCUCUUCUGACGCUGAGGCGCGAAAGCUAGGGGAGCAAACGGG